GAAGCACGGUCAACAUCAGUUUAAUGAGAGCAAAAUGGCUCCUUCAACACUCUCCUCAUCUUAUAUUCAUACUUGGAUUCCUAUGUCUCCUAGUAUUUUAUGAGCCCAAAUCGUAAUUUUUCGUAUACUUGUUAAUCAACAAGUUAGUCCGCCUUAAUCAACAUCGUGCUCAAAUUAAAAUUCAUCUUGCAGGUACAAUUCCUCUACUGUUUACAACUGGCUAGAUUAUCAACCAAGCACAACACUGAGAAAAGUUCGACGGUUUCUACGUUAAUAAAGGGAAGUACCCUCUAUCCCACCCUAUCCCACCGCCUCCAUUCCUCCGUCCCUUGUUUCCGUUCUCCUAAAAAUUAAGAGUAUGUUUUAGAAGUAGUUUAAAUUUCCCAUUACUCUUAACUAAUUUCUUUCAUACACAUAGAGCCCCAAGUUUAAAUUCAAAUCAAAUUAAUGCCUAUUUUCAAGCUUGUAUAAAAUUAAAUACUUAAACCAACAAAAUCACACGAAUCUUAAAUCAAAACAUUAAAAAAAUAUAUAAAAAAAUUUGAUUGUUUACUUAAGAUAUAGUUAUAGACAUACGAGAGUUAAGGGAUAAACCUGCAAGCAGUUGAUGAAUACCUCCCGUUUAUCGACGUAGAAAUCGUUGAACUUUUCGAAUUCCCAGUUGAGAACCAGAUCUGCAGCUCGGCCAAAUGCGGUGUCGAUACCUUGCAUCACCCUCCGGCCGCGGGGAUUAUCUCCAUCUGCCAUUUAAAUUCGAACGAGGAAGCCACAAGCUUUGCUAAAAUUUGAAAGCUAUUGAAGGCAUCUCUCUGCAAAUGGUAAAGUACUGGAGUCGUGAAGGGCAUUUCUGUUGCCAGCCAUCAAAAUUAGAACGAGGAAGCCACAAGUUUUGCUAAAAUUUGCCUGUUAUUAAAGGAAAUUAGAGAAAAUGUGACUGAAGAACUUGUUUUGGAGUUCGAUACUGACAAUGUUGCAGAGAAUGUGAUCAAGGUUGAAGAAGAAACAUUGGGACACAAUGGGCCGAUUGUGCUUGAGGUGAGCAUGAUGUUCAACAAUGAUAAGGAAUUGUUUGAUUUCUACAAGAGAUAUACCUAUAAUGUUGGUUUUCCAGUUCAAAAAAGAAACUCGAAAAAGGGGGACGAUGGACCGUUGAAAUAUGUGAUCUUGACAUGUAGUCAUGAAGGUAGAAAAACAAAUAAUGCAAACAGCUCUUUAAAUCAACAUCCAAUCAAUCAGACAGAUUGUAAAGCAAUGAUCUUUGCUUCUUCAGCUAAUAAUGGAAUGUGGAGAAUUAACAUAGUCCAUCUUGACCAUAACCAUCGAACUAGCCCUUACAAGUCUAGGUUGUAUCGAUGCAAUAGAGAGUUGAGUGCAACUGUGAAAUGAAAACUUGAAGUGAAAGAUUUGGCAGGAAUUUCGUUGCACAAAAGUUUCAAUUCUGCAAUUGUUGAAGUAGGGAGAUAUGAAAAUAUGACGUGUGUGGAAAAGGAUCGUCGCAAUUAUAUUGAACAAGUAAGGCGAUUGUGACUUGGAGAAGGAGAUGUGGUCGUAAUACAAUGUUAUUUUUCGAAAAUGCAAGCAUGAUGCUUGAGUUUUUACUUCAGUAUGGAUUUAGAUGACGAGUCUUGCCUGAAGAACGUGUUUUGGUCUGAUAAUAAGUGUAGGUAGGCAUACAUGGAGUUUGACGAUAUUGUUACAUUCAAUACCACUUAUCUCACUAACAAAUAUAACAUGCCAUUCGUACCUUUUGUUGGCGUGAAUGAUCACGGUCAAUCAACUUUGUUGGUUGUGAAUUGUUAUCGAAUGAGGACACAGAUACCUUCGUGUAGCUGUUCAAGACAUGGUUUCAGUGCAUGCACGGUAGAGCUACUCAUGGAAUAAUUACUGAUCAAGAUGCAAAGCAUAGGUAGUGUUUGUGGCACAGUUUGAAAAAGUUGUCGAAGAAGUUCGAAUGCCAUGUUCAUAAGGCAUGCAUAUUUGAGGCUAUACAUCGCUUGGUGUAUGAUUUGCAGAAUAUUGAAGAAUUUGAAGCAUGUUGCAAAGAGAUGAUCGAAACAUAUGACUUGAUGGAUAAUGAAUACAUGUCUAUUGAAGAAUUUGAAGCAUAUUUAAGACUAUACUAUGUUGCAUGCAUCUGAUGUCUAUUAUGCCUUUCAUUUAAGAGCACAACUUUUUGCCAUUUUGUGUGUCAGUAACCAUUCUGGGGAUAAUCUGCUCUUUCAUAUUAGCGUGGAUGGAUUACUUUUUGGAAUAAUUUAGCAUGUUACCGUUGUUGCAUUAAAUGAUUGUCUUUGCCAGGCGGGUGCCUUUAGGAAAUUAUGCUAUCUACAAGAAGCUUUCCUGUUAGCUAUUUGUGGCAUGUUUGUUUAAAGAGUGGGUUACUAGGUAGAUCAAUUCUUAUUUAAAAGAGUGGUGUGGUCAGGAUGUCCACUGUGGUGGGCGAGGGGAGAUAGUCUGGAUUUUUUCCCCCGUCAUUCUAAUGAUCUUAGCAAAGCAUCUUAUUAUAUAUUAAUGUUGUAAUAAAGAAAGUUGACAAAAGUUAGAAGAGAAGACGAAGUGAAUACAUGUUCAAUCAUGCAAGUGCGUAGAGUGUGUGUACAUACAGGAUUGAGAAAGACAAAUCUAUAAUGGGUGUUUGAAGUUCAUAGUGCUAGGCUUAUGUGAGUUCAAGGGACAAAGUGAGAAUAUUGCUGGACAUUUUGAAAUUGAAAAUUUUUUAUACUUUGAUAGACAUUUUUGUUUCAUCCUCGGAGCAAUAAACUUAGGAUUCUCAAGUUAAAGUAACCAAAUCUGAAGCCAAAGUUGCUGAAAUGAAGCAAUCUGAUGCCAACUUUUAACUGAUGUGUAGAUGUUGCAUCUAAGUUUUUUAGUUUUACUUAUAUUAACACUUCCUUUCCACUAUUUUUGUAGUCUAUUACAGAGUCUCUGCAAAUUACAAGUGAAGUGGUUAAUAUCUUUCAUGAAACACAUUUCUUUGACAUUUUGUUUUAAAAUUUGUAUUUAGAAGACGGUCAUUCUUUGUGCUGCAGAAAGAAAUUCAGAUUAGGCCAUGCUUGUGGAAUGGAAACCAGCAACCAUGUUACUUGUCUGUCUCCAUUCUCUUUGUUGUAAAGUGCCUCUCGUGAUAUAGCAUUGAGUACGCUCUCUAAGAUGGCUUUUUUUGAGUGCAAGGGCAACUGAUAGAGCUACGAAUGUAAUUUCAAAUCGAGUGGGAGAGGAAGUGGAGAGACAGCUAUGUUGCCUCAUCAACAAAAUGGCAUCUAAUCAUUCACCGCCAACUUUUAAUUGUAUUUGUGUACAGCUUGUGCAGCUAUAACUUAGUAAAGACUUGUAAUUGUAUAUGUACUUUCUGUCAAGUGCUCAAUGAAAUUUAUUUUCCACUGGAUUUAA